rnacentral:rRNA from 1 species
AGAGGGGGCAAGCGUUGUUCGGAAUUACUGGGCGUAAAGGGCGCGUAGGCGGCCUUCUAAGUCGAACGUGAAAUCCCCGGGCUCAACCCGGGAACUGCGUCCGAUACUGGAAGGCUUGAAUCCGGGAGAGGGAUGUGGAAUUCCAGGUGUAGCGGUGAAAUGCGUAGAUAUCUGGAGGAACACCGGUGGCGAAGGCGGCAUCCUGGACCGGCAUUGACGCUGAGGCGCGAAAGCCAGGGGAGCAAACGGGAUUAGAUACCCCGGUAGUCCUGGCCCUAAACGAUGAAUGCUUGGUGUGGCGGGUAUCGAUCCCUGCCGUGCCGAAGCUAACGCAUUAAGCAUUCCGCCUGGGGAGUACGGUCGCAAGGCUG